UUGCUAUCUGCGAUACUCAAGAUUCGAACCUGCAGCAGGUUCGAGUUGAGCGCAGCGAAACAACGGAGCCGCUCGCGGCGAGGCCCGAAGGGCGAGCGAAGCGAGUCAUCCUGCACGACCCACCA
rnacentral:sRNA from 1 species